rnacentral:rRNA from 1 species
UACGGGGGGGGGUAAGCGUUGUUCGGAAUUACUGGGCGUAAAGGGCUCGUAGGCGGCCAACUAAGUCGGACGUGAAAUCCCUCAGCUUAACUGGGGAACUGCGUCCGAUACUGGAUGGCUUGGAUUUGGGAGAGGGAUGCGGAAUUCCAGGUGUAGCGGUGAAAUGCGUAGAUAUCUGGAGGAACACCGGUGGCGAAGGCGGCAUCCUGGACCAAUAUUGACGCUGAGGAGCGAAAGCCAGGGGGAGCAAAACGGG